rnacentral:rRNA from 1 species
GACGAACGCUGGCGGCGUGCUUAACACAUGCAAGUCGAACGGAAAGCCCUGCUUUUGUGGGGUGCUCGAGUGGCGAACGGGUGAGUAACACGUGAGUAACCUGCCCUUGACUUUGGGAUAACUUCAGGAAACUGGGGCUAAUACCGGAUAGGAGCUCCUGCUGCAUGGUGGGGGUUGGAAAGUUUCGGCGGUUGGGGAUGGACUCGCGGCUUAUCAGCUUGUUGGUGGGGUAGUGGCUUACCAAGGCUUUGACGGGUAGCCGGCCUGAGAGGGUGACCGGCCACAUUGGGACUGAGAUACGGCCCAGACUCCUACGGGAGGCAGCAGUGGGGAAUAUUGCACAAUGGGCGGAAGCCUGAUGCAGCAACGCCGCGUGCGGGAUGACGGCCUUCGGGUUGUAAACCGCUUUCGCCUGUGACGAAGCGUGAGUGACGGUAAUGGGUAAAGAAGCACCGGCUAACUACGUG